UCAACUGAAAAGGUUAAUGUAUCACGAACAGUUGUUAUGUUUUAAAACAAUAAGGAAACCUAAGCUGUAGACUGUAAUGAACAGCUUGAGUAACCCAUAUCAAGUGGUGACAAUAUAUUCAAAAGCUCUGAUAUUGUUGAACAAUAUGGGGAUGUAAAUCUGUGGAAAAUAAUGGAAACAUUUAUGCAAUGUUUGUGGAAUGGUUUUUGUGUUUAUUAAGCGAAUAUCACUUACACACGUGCUUUUCACCAUAUAUUACUGUUUUUUAACAGUUUGGCAAACUGUUGAACGCGUUGGUAUUUGUAAGAAAAUUUUCAUCACUCUGUCAGGCACGCUUAAAAUUUAACACACAUGCUAUUUAGCUUUUACGCAAUUUUUAAUUGAACGUUAUUUGAUGGUUUCACAUAUUUUAACAAAAAAUGUGGAACAACGCGAUUUUUAUGAUGUUCGUAUGUUUGUUGCUAAUGUUUCAAAUCAGACGAGUUAAAUAAUAAAUAUUUUUCAUAAGCUGGGUCAAAUUUACUAAGCUACUAUGUAAAUUGUUUUAAGCGUGCAUUUCUGUUUUUGUUUUGCUAACAGAAACUGAAGUGAAAAACAAACCGUCGUCAAUCCAGCGAUCUGCACGAAUCUUCACAAUCUGGGUUUGAUUGCAAUGAUUGCAAUCUAUUGUCAUUUUCUUUGACGAAGCGCCGGAAUGGAAGUUCCGACAAGUUCCCGGGCAGCUGAAGACGAAAAUUUCUGUUCGAAUAUUCGCAAGGCCCAGACCCAAGCCAGAACCAGGGAAAGAAGCUGAAUCAGACGAAUCCGACGUUUUCAUCGGUGUUCAUUUCAAUGUCCAUAUACAUGAGGAUGGUCAUUCGGGAGUAUAUUUGCGGUUAUCAGGAUAAUAGUGACAAUUAGUGAAAAAUAAAACAAAAGUAGUGCAUCAAAAUCUAUUAAAUUAAUUUAUGUAACUUCCUCAGUUAUUCAGGUCAUGAACGAAUGAAAUAUGUAUUCCAAGGUAAAAUAAAAAAUAAAAAUAAAAAAAAUAGUAAUAUGUUCCAA